rnacentral:rRNA from 1 species
GUGGGGAAUAUUGCGCAAUGGGGGAAACCCUGACGCAGCGACGCCGCGUGAGCGAAGAAGGCCUUAGGGUUGUAAAGCUCUGUUUUAAGGGACGAAUGUCGUGGGGAGUAAUAUGCUCUGCGAAUGACGGUACCUUAAGAGGAAGCCCCGGCUAACUACGUGCCAGCAGCCGCGGUAAGACGUAGGGGGCGAGCGUUGUCCGGAAUUACUGGGCGUAAAGAGCACGUAGGCGGGAACUUAAGUCAGGUGUGAAAGACCGGGGCUCAACUCCGGGGUUGCACUUGAAACUGGGUUUCUUGAGGGCAGGAGAGGAAAGCAGAAUUCCUGGUGUAGCGGUGAAAUGCGUAGAAAUCAGGAGGAAUACCAGUGGCGAAGGCGGCUUUCUGGACUGACCCUGACGCUGAGGUGCGAAAGCGUGGGUAGCAAACAGGAUUAGAAACCCGAGUAGUCC